AAGAAGAGGUUGGUGUUACAUGGAGCAGCAGCACAGUCAAGCAGGGAACAGAUCACGUAAAGCCCUUUAGAGAGUGAAGUCGGCUUUUUAUGCUAGGUGCAACUGGGAGUUCUGAACACGGCAAAGUUGGACAUUCCAAAGAUGGCGUAGAUGAACAUGACCAGGAAGAGCAGGAGGCCGAUGUUAAACAACGCAGGAAGGGACAUCAUCAAAGCAAAGAGCAGCGUGCGGAUCCCCUUUGCUCCUUUGACUAGACGUAGGAUUCGGCCAAUCCUGGCAAGACGGAUCACUCGGAACAGGCUGUCUUACUGUGACUUUUAUU
rnacentral:lncRNA from 1 species